rnacentral:rRNA from 1 species
AUUGAACGCUGGCGGCAGGCCUAACACAUGCAAGUCGAGCGAGCGGCGGACGGGUGAGUAAUGUCUGGGAAACUGCCUGAUGGAUGGGGAUAACUACUGGAAACGGUAGCUAAUACCGCAUACCAUCAGAUGUGCCCAGGUGGGAUUUGCUAGUGGGUGGGGUAACGGCUCACCUCGGCGACGAUCCCUAGCUGGUCUGAGAGGAUGACCAGCCACACUGGAACUGAGACACGGUCCAGACUCCUACGGGAGGCAGGAGUGGGGAAUAUUGCACAAUGGGUGAAAGCCUGAUGCAGCCAUGCCGCGUGUGUGAAGAAGGCCUUCGGGUUGUAAAGCACUUUCAGCGGGGAGGCGUUAUCAGCAGAAGAAGCACCGGCUAACUCCGUGCCAGCAGCCGCGGUAAUAC